GCGGGGUCAAAUCCUUUGCAGACGACUUAGCUGUGCGAAACGGUCCUGUAAGCAGUAGAGUAGCCUUGUUGUUACGAUCUGCUGAGGGUAAGCCGUCCUUCGCCUCGAUUUCCCCAAUGGGUUCUCCGGAUUUCUGGAGACUUGUAGGGGUUGUGGGAUUUUUGAUGUGUCGUCUCCGGACGGACGGUGCAGGGUAGGCUGCUUGGACAUGGUCGGUUCGAGGAUCGAUUCGAGGGCCGGCCUGUCGAUGAUGUGUGAUGUAUGCGGUCUAGGGUAGGCUGGUUUGUCUUGGUUCAAUUUGAUGUCGGCUCCCGUGCAGGCCAGAGUGAGGGGGGUCCAGGGUAGGUACAGGGUAGGCAGCUUAGAUUUGGUCGAUCUGGAGGUCGAUUCUCCGGCUGGCGGAUCUGACACUGUCGAAACGAGAUGCGAGCGGUGUAGGGUA
rnacentral:rRNA from 1 species